rnacentral:rRNA from 1 species
AUUGAACGCUGGCGGCAGGCCUAACACAUGCCAGUCGAGCGGAUGAAGGGAGCUUGCUCCUGGAUUCAGCGGCGGACGGGUGAGUAAUGCCUAGGAAUCUGCCUGGUAGUGGGGGAUAACGUCCGGAAACGGGCGCUAAUACCGCAUACGUCCUGAGGGAGAAAGUGGGGGAUCUUCGGACCUCACGCUAUCAGAUGAGCCUAGGUCGGAUUAGCUAGUUGGUGGGGUAAAGGCCUACCAAGGCGACGAUCCGUAACUGGUCUGAGAGGAUGAUCAGUCACACUGGAUCUGAGACACGGUCCAGACUCCUACGGGAGGCAGCAGUGGGGAAUAUUGGACAAUGGGCGAAAGCCUGAUCCAGCCAUGCCGCGUGUGUGAAGAAGGUCUUCGGAUUGUAAAGCACUUUAAGUUGGGAGGAAGGGCAGUAAGUUAAUACCUUGCUGUUUUGACGUUACCAACAGAAUAAGCACCGGCUAACUUCGUG